UACGUAGGUGGCAAGCGUUGUCCGGAUUUAUUGGGUUUAAAGGGUGCGUAGGCGGCUUAAUAAGUCAGUGGUGAAAGCCGAUCGCUUAACGAUCGAACUGCCAUUGAUACUGCUAGGCUUGAGUAUAGUUGAGGUAGGCGGAAUUGACAGUGUAGCGGUGAAAUGCAUAGAUAUUGUCAAGAACACCAAUUGCGAAGGCAGCUUACUAAAGUAUAACUGACGCUGAGGCACGAAAAGUGCGGGGGAUCAAAACAGGG
rnacentral:rRNA from 1 species